rnacentral:lncRNA from 1 species
UUUUACUGUGGGUGAUUGGUUAGGUGUUUGGAUAUCUUUGACAAAUUGAAGCAACUAAGUUGAUCCACACCUUGCUGGCGUCUCAAAUUUCUCCAAUGCAGGUUGCAUUCUUACCAUGUACUUCAAUCUGAUAUGUGCGAUUCAAAUUAUCUGUAUCCGUUUUGAGUAAAUGGUCAUAUUUAGCUUUGGUAUAUCAUAUCAGUGUCUUAGUGCAGCUCGUCGGAGUUCAUCGGCUGGAAGAUAAGAAAGGGGGAACGAAGACGAAGAGGGAGGAGUCAGGGCCGACGAGGCCGCAGUAGAGACGGCAACGGGGACCCGUGACCUGAGACUCGAUAGAUAUUUACUUUAUUAGGGUAUGGGAAUGAGCUAAAUAUAUUAUCCGUGGGUAAGUAAUUGGACAAAUACUUUUACCCGAUGGUACGCGUGUAUAGAAACGUUCUUAUGAUCCCCAUACUCGAUUACCCAUGGAUAAUAAAUACCCGCAAGUUUAAAUACAUGUCAUGGCCUAAUAUCAUAUUAGCCUAGCCUAAUUAACCAAAACCAU